rnacentral:rRNA from 2 species
GGGUUGUGAGGUUAAGCGACUAAGCGUACACGGUGGAUGCCCUGGCAGUCAGAGGCGAUGAAGGACGUGCUAAUCUGCGAAAAGCGUCGGUAAGGUGAUAUGAACCGUUAUAACCGGCGAUGUCCGAAUGGGGAAACCCAGUGCAAUUCGUUGCACUAUCGUUAACUGAAUACAUAGGUUAACGAGGCGAACCGGGGGAACUGAAACAUCUAAGUACCCCGAGGAAAAGAAAUCAACCGAGAUUCCCCCAGUAGCGGCGAGCGAACGGGGAGCAGCCCAGAGUCUGAAUCAGCUUGUGUGUUAGUGGAACGGUCUGGAAAGUCCGACGGUACAGGGUGAUAGUCCCGUACACCAAAAUGCACAGGCUGUGAACUCGAAGAGUAGGGCGGGACACGUGGUAUCCUGUCUGAAUAUGGGGGGACCAUCCUCCAAGGCUAAAUACUCCUGACUGACCGAUAGUGAACCAGUACCGUGAGGGAAAGGCGAAAAGAACCCCGGCGAGGGGAGUGAAAAAGAACCUGAAACCGUGUACGUACAAGCAGUGGGAGCACCUUCGGGUGUGACUGCGUACCUUUUGUAUAAUGGGUCAGCGACUUAUAUUCUGUAGCAAGGUUAACCGUAUAGGGGAGCCGCAGGGAAACCGAGUCUUAACUGGGCGUUAAGUUGCAGGGUAUAGACCCGAAACCCGGUGAUCUAGCCAUGGGCAGGUUGAAGGUUGGGUAACACUAACUGGAGGACCGAACCGACUAAUGUUGAAAAAUUAGCGGAUGACUUGUGGCUGGGGGUGAAAGGCCAAUCAAACCGGGAGAUAGCUGGUUCUCCCCGAAAGCUAUUUAGGUAGCGCCUCGUGAACUCAUCUUCGGGGGUAGAGCACUGUUUCGGCUAGGGGGUCAUCCCGACUUACCAACCCGAUGCAAACUACGAAUACCGAAGAAUGUUAUCACGGGAGACACACGGCGGGUGCUAACGUCCGUCGUGAAGAGGGAAACAACCCAGACCGCCAGCUAAGGUCCCAAAGUCAUGGUUAAGUGGGAAACGAUGUGGGAAGGCACAGACAGCCAGGAUGUUGGCUUAGAAGCAGCCAUCAUUUAAAGAAAGCGUAAUAGCUCACUGGUCGAGUCGGCCUGCGCGGAAGAUGUAACGGGGCUAAACCAUGCACCGAAGCUGCGGCAGCGACACUAUGUGUUGUUGGGUAGGGGAGCGUUCUGUAAGCCUGCGAAGGUGACCUGUGAGGGUUGCUGGAGGUAUCAGAAGUGCGAAUGCUGACAUAAGUAACGAUAAAGCGGGUGAAAAGCCCGCUCGCCGGAAGACCAAGGGUUCCUGUCCAACGUUAAUCGGGGCAGGGUGAGUCGACCCCUAAGGCGAGGCCGAAAGGCGUAGUCGAUGGGAAACAGGUUAAUAUUCCUGUACUUGGUGUUACUGCGAAGGGGGGACGGAGAAGGCUAUGUUAGCCGGGCGACGGUUGUCCCGGUUUAAGCAUGUAGGCUGGUUGUCCAGGCAAAUCCGGAUAAUCAAGGCUGAGGUGUGAUGACGAGGUACUACGGUGCUGAAGUAACAAAUGCCCUGCUUCCAGGAAAAGCCUCUAAGCAUCAGGUAACAUCAAAUCGUACCCCAAACCGACACAGGUGGUCAGGUAGAGAAUACCAAGGCGCUUGAGAGAACUCGGGUGAAGGAACUAGGCAAAAUGGUGCCGUAACUUCGGGAGAAGGCACGCUGGUGUGUAGGUGAAGUCCCUGCGGAUGGAGCUGAGACCAGUCGAAGAUACCAGCUGGCUGCAACUGUUUAUUAAAAACACAGCACUGUGCAAACACGAAAGUGGACGUAUACGGUGUGACGCCUGCCCGGUGCCGGAAGGUUAAUUGAUGGGGUUAUCCGUAAGGAGAAGCUCUUGAUCGAAGCCCCGGUAAACGGCGGCCGUAACUAUAACGGUCCUAAGGUAGCGAAAUUCCUUGUCGGGUAAGUUCCGACCUGCACGAAUGGCGUAAUGAUGGCCAGGCUGUCUCCACCCGAGACUCAGUGAAAUUGAACUCGCUGUGAAGAUGCAGUGUACCCGCGGCAAGACGGAAAGACCCCGUGAACCUUUACUAUAGCUUGACACUGAACAUUGAGCCUUGAUGUGUAGGAUAGGUGGGAGGCUUUGAAGCGUGGACGCCAGUCUGCGUGGAGCCAACCUUGAAAUACCACCCUUUAAUGUUUGAUGUUCUAACGUUGGCCCCUGACCGGGGUUGCGGACAGUGUCUGGUGGGUAGUUUGACUGGGGCGGUCUCCUCCCAAAGCGUAACGGAGGAGCACGAAGGUUAGCUAAUCCUGGUCGGACAUCAGGAGGUUAGUGCAAUGGCAUAAGCUAGCUUGACUGCGAGCGUGACGGCGCGAGCAGGUGCGAAAGCAGGUCAUAGUGAUCCGGUGGUUCUGAAUGGAAGGGCCAUCGCUCAACGGAUAAAAGGUACUCCGGGGAUAACAGGCUGAUACCGCCCAAGAGUUCAUAUCGACGGCGGUGUUUGGCACCUCGAUGUCGGCUCAUCACAUCCUGGGGCUGAAGUAGGUCCCAAGGGUAUGGCUGUUCGCCAUUUAAAGUGGUACGCGAGCUGGGUUUAGAACGUCGUGAGACAGUUCGGUCCCUAUCUGCCGUGGGCGCUGGAGAAUUGAGGGGGGCUGCUCCUAGUACGAGAGGACCGGAGUGGACGCAUCACUGGUGUUCGGGUUGUCAUGCCAAUGGCACUGCCCGGUAGCUAAAUGCGGAAGAGAUAAGUGCUGAAAGCAUCUAAGCACGAAACUUGCCCCGAGAUGAGUUCUCCCUGAGACUUUAAGUCUCCUGAAGGAACGUUAAAGACGAUGACGUUGAUAGGCCGGGUGUGUAAGCGCAGCGAUGCGUUGAGCUAACCGGUACUAAUGAACCGUGAGGCUUAACCUUACAACGCCGAAG